UGCCAGCCGCCGCGGUAAUACCGAAGGUGCAAGCGUUAAUCGGAAUCACUGGGCGUAAAGCGCUCGUAGGUGGCUUUGUAAGUCAGAUGUGAAAGCCCACGGCUCAACCGUAGUAAGCUUUUGAAACUGCAAAACUAGAGUUCAGGAGAGGUAAGUGGAAUUCCUGGUGUAGAGGUGAAAUUCGUAGAUAUCAGGAGGAACACCGGUGGCGAAGGCGACUACCUGGACCAAUACUGACGCUGAGGCUCGAAGGCGUGGGGAGCAAACAGGAUUAGAUA
rnacentral:rRNA from 1 species